GGGCGUGUAGGCGGUCUUUCAAGUCCGAUGCUAAAGACUGGGGCUCAACCCCAGGGGUGCGUUGGAUACUGUGAGGCUAGACGGUCGGAGGGGGUAGCGGAAUUUCCGGAGUAGCGGUGAAAUGCGCAGAUACCGGAAGGAACGCCAAUAGCGAAGGCAGCUACCUGGACGACUUGUGACGCUGAGGCGCGAAAGCGUGGGGAGCAAACCGGAUUAGAUACCCGGGUAGUCCACGCCCUAAACCAUGAGUGCUGGGUGUCCGGCUUCUGCUGGGUGCCGUAGCUAACGCGCUAAGCACUCCGCCUGGGAAGUACGCACGCAAGUGUGAAACUCAAAGGAAUUGACGGGGGCCCGCACAAGCGGUGGAGCAUGUGGUUUAAUUCGAAGCGACGCGAAGAACCUUACCAGGCCUUGACAUGCCCGGAACCCCUCUGAAAGGAGGGGGUGCCCGCAAGGGAGCCGGGACACAGGUGCUGCAUGGCCGUCGUCAGCUCGUGUCGUGAGAUGUUGGGUUAAGUCCCGCAACGAGCGCAACCCCUAUCCCUAGUUGCCAGCAGUUCGGCUGGGCACUCUAUGGAGACUGCCUGCGAAAGCAGGAGGAAGGCGGGGAUGACGUCUGGUCCGCAUGGCCCUUACGGCCUGGGCGACACACGUGCUACAAUGCCAAGGACAGAGCGCUGCUACCUCGCGAGAGGACGCCAAUCGCAAAAACCUUGGCUCAGUUCGGAUUGGAGUCUGCAACUCGACUCCAUGAAGCCGGAAUCGCUUAGUAAUCGCGAAUCAGGCAUGU
rnacentral:rRNA from 1 species